rnacentral:rRNA from 1 species
GACGGGGGGGGCAAGUGUUCUUCGGAAUGACUGGGCGUAAAGGGCACGUAGGCGGUGAAUCGGGUUGAAAGUGAAAGUCGCCAAAAACUGGCGGAAUGCUCUCGAAACCAAUUCACUUGGGUGAGACAGAGGAGAGUGGAAUUCCCAGUGUAGAGGUGAAAUUCGUAGAUAUUGGGAAGAACACCGGUGGCGAAGGCGGCUCACUGGCUCAUUACUGACGCUCAGGCGCGAUAGCGUGGGGAUCAAACAGG